GGGACAGACAGAACUUCCUGGCCAGGGCUCUUGGUCAACUUCAGUAUCACCGGGAGCUCAGCCGUCUCCAGCUCUUGCAUAUCCAGCUUAAGGCCUCGGGAACUCCUGUGUGUUUGGAGAAUUACCCCGGAGAGAGAUUCUAUGGAACAGUCACCACAUCUCUCGGGAACCAGGCUGCUGUCUGUCCUCUGUUGGUCCCUUUCCUGAGAGGCAUCACUGCAAUGCUCGUAGAGGAUCAAGGCUGUCAUCUAGAGCUGGAAGAUCAGAGGCCAGGAGGAGGUCAGGCUGGUCCCUUGCCCACCUUCCUCUUCUUCUGACA
rnacentral:lncRNA from 1 species